GAUGAACGCUAGCGGCAGGCCUAAUACAUGCAAGUCGAACGGUAAACGGCCCUUCGGGGCUGUGAGAGUGGCGCACGGGUGCGUAACGCGUAUGCAACCUACCCAAUGCUGGAGGAUAGCCCGGAGAAAUUCGGAUUAACCCUCCAUGAGGAGCCGAUGGGGCAUCCCAAUGGUUUCAAAUAUUCAUAGGCGUUGGAUGGGCAUGCGUGCUAUUAGGUAGUAGGCGGGGUAACGGCCCACCUAGCCUUCGAUCAUUAGGGGUUCUGAGAGGAAGGUCCCCCACACUGGAACUGAGACACGGUCCAGACUCCUACGGGAGGCAGCAGUGAGGAAUAUUGGUCAAUGGGCGAGAGCCUGAACCAGCCAAGUAGCGUGAGGGAUGACUGCCCUACGGGUUGUAAACCUCUUUGUCGGGGAAUAAACUGCGCCACGUGUGGCGCCCUGCAUGUACCCGCAGAAUAAGGACCGGCUAAUUCCGUG
rnacentral:rRNA from 1 species